GUGCACUGUUUCGUGCGGCUAUAGCGCUUGUCUUAUAAACAAGUGGUCCUGGGUUCAAAUCCCAGCGGGCCCA
rnacentral:tRNA from 1 species